rnacentral:rRNA from 1 species
GACGAACGCUGGCGGCGUGCUUAACACAUGCAAGUCGAACGGAAAGGCCCUGCUUUUGUGGGGUGCUCGAGUGGCGAACGGGUGAGUAACACGUGAGUAACCUGCCCUUGACUUUGGGAUAACUUCAGGAAACUGGGGCUAAUACCGGAUAGGAGCUCCUGCUGCAUGGUGGGGGUUGGAAAGUUUCGGCGGUUGGGGAUGGACUCGCGGCUUAUCAGCUUGUUGGUGGGGUAGUGGCUUACCAAGGCUUUGACGGGUAGCCGGCCUGAGAGGGUGACCGGCCACAUUGAGACUGAGAUACGGCCCAGACUCCUACGGGAGGCAGCAGUGGGGAAUAUUGCACAAUGGGCGGAAGCCUGAUGCAGCAACGCCGUGUGCGGGAUGACGGCCUUCGGGUUGUAAACCGCUUUCGCUCAUGACGAAGCUUUGUGUGACGGUAGUGGGUAAAGAAGCACCGGCUAACUACGUG